rnacentral:rRNA from 1 species
AUUGAACGCUGGCGGCAUGCUUUACACAUGCAAGUCGAACGGUAACAGGUUAAGCUGACGAGUGGCGAACGGGUGAGUAAUGCAUCGGAACGUGCCCGGUCGUGGGGGAUAACGCAGAGAAAGCUGCGCUAAUACCGCAUACGAUCUAUGGAUGAAAGCGGGGGAUCGCAAGACCUCGCGCGAUUGGAGCGGCGGAUAUCAGAUUAGGUAGUUGGUGGGGUAAAGGCUCACCAAGCCGACGAUCUGUAGCUGGUCUGAGAGGACGACCAGCCACACUGGGACUGAGACACGGCCCAGACUCCUACGGGAGGCAGCAGUGGGGAAUUUUGGACAAUGGGCGAAAGCCUGAUCCAGCCAUGCCGCGUGCAGGAUGAAGGCUUUCGGGUUGUAAACUGCUUUUGUACGGAACGAAAAGGUUUGGCCUAAUAAGCUGAGCUCGUGACGGUACCGUAAGAAUAAGCACCGGCUAACUACGUGCCAGCCGCCGCGGUAA